rnacentral:rRNA from 1 species
GACAGAGGAUGCAAGCGUUAUCCGGAAUGAUUGGGCGUAAAGCGUGCGUAGGCGGUGUCUUAAGUUUGUUGUGAAAUCUCCCGGCUUAACCGGGAGGGUGCGGCGAAUACUGAGAUGCUGGAGUGCCGGAGAGGUAAGCGGAAUUCCUGGUGUAGCGGUGAAAUGCGUAGAUAUCAGGAGGAACACCUGCGGUGUAGACGGCUUACUGGACGGUAACUGACGCUGAGGCACGAAAGCGUGGGUAGCAAACAGG